CCUACGGGUGGCAGCAGUGGGGAAUAUUGGGCAAUGGAGGAAACUCUGACCCAGCAACGCCGCGUGAAUGAUGAAUGUCUUCGGAUUUUAAAGUUCUUUUCUAAGGGAAGAAGCAAGUGACGGUACCUUAGGAAUAAGCCUCGGCUAACUACGGUCCAGCAGCCGCGUUAAUACGUAGGAGGCGAGCGUUAUACGGAAUGCCUGGGCGUACAGGGUGCGUAGGUGGAAUGCCAAGUCAGCGGUAAAUUCGCGGGGCUCAACCUCGCUCCGACGUUGAAACUGGCGUUCUUGAGUGGGCGAGAAGUAUGCGGAAUGCGUGGUGUAGCGGUGAAAUGCAUAGAUAUCACGCAGAACUCCGAUUGCGAAGGCAGCAUACCGGCGCCCAACUGACGCUGAAGCACGAAAGCGUGGGUAUCGAACAGGAUUAGAUACCCCAGUAGUC
rnacentral:rRNA from 1 species